UGUCAUAAAAAUAUUAGUGCUACAAAAUAGAAUUAAAAUAAUUGAUGCCAAGAAACUGACCUAAUCCAAAGUGCUGAUUGACGGUAUAUAUAAUUUUAGUCUUUACCACGUCGAUCAAUAUUUACCUGCAUGUAGUUGUACAAAAAAAAAUGUUUAAAAUAAGAAAUAAAUAAAUGAUUUAAAUUUGACAACGCCGUGGCUAAAAAGGAAAAAAGACAGACAGACAAACAUUAGUACACUAAAUAUAACAUAAACACUAAAGAUAA
rnacentral:lncRNA from 1 species